GGGUGAUGGGGUGGAUCGGGUGGCGGAGAUGGCGGAGCUCGGGCUGGAGCGCUCACGGGAUGGAAGUCUCAUCUCGCACUACCUUGGCACCGCCAUGGGCUGCACCGGUGACCGGCCCCAAGUGCACAUGAACAACGAGGUGUGUUUGGCGUCAUACUUGACCGUGGUGCAGAACAUCUUGUGGUUCUACCCAAGGGUUGACACCGAGCACCGAGGCGAACUGCAGAGGUAGCAUCCCGCGUCCUUUGUCAACGUCCAUAGCAUCAAGGACCUCCUCACGCCCCUGUGCAGAUGGCGCUCGCUCAUGAUCACAGGAAACCGGAUGACGCAUGUGCCCAUUGUCUAUCAUCGACGACAAGGUUGGUUCUGUGUUAAGGCCCUGCAUCCUCAGGUAAGAGGCCAUGAUUCAUAAGGCAGGUACUAAUUGCAUCUUCAUCUCUAUUUUUAUUUGGUCUUGAUUUCUUUCACUUGGUGCUGCACAAGAUCAGGUCAGUUUGGAACCUCUGCCUCCCAAAUUCCUACGACAAAAAAGAUGCCCUUUCCAAGUACUACUUCAGCUUUUCUAUUGGAUAGAUAACAAUAAAACCACAACAAAUAUCUAUCAGAAUUGAUUAUAAUCAGGGAUAGAAGUAACUCUGUUUCAGCAGAGAAGCAACUGCCUUCACUCGAG